rnacentral:rRNA from 1 species
UUUUAUUAAUCUUAGGAUAAGAUACCCUAUUAUUAAAAUGUAAAAUUAAAUGUUAAGUUAUUAAUAGUUAUAGUCUUUAAAGUUAAAAAUUUCGGCGGUAUUUUAGUCUAUUCAGAGGAACCUGUUCUGUAAAUGAUAAUCCACGAUUAGAAUUACUUAUUUUAAAAAUUUAUAUAUCGUCGUAGUUGAAUAUUUUAUUAGAUUUUAAAUAUUCAUGAUUUAUUUUAUAAAAAAAAUCAGAUCAAGGUGUAGUUUAUAAAUA